rnacentral:piRNA from 1 species
UCCGGUGGAAGUCUCAGCUAGAUCGG